ACUACGGGUGGCAGCAGUGAGGAAUAUUGGUCAAUGGGCGGAAGCCUGAACCAGCCAAGUAGCGUGCAGGAUGACGGCCCUACGGGUUGUAAACUGCUUUUAUACGGGAAUAACGCGCCUUACGUGUAGGGCUUUGCAUGUACCGUAUGAAUAAGGACCGGCUAAUUCCGUGCCAGCAGCCGCGGUAAUACGGAAGGUCCGGGCGUUAUCCGGAUUUAUUGGGUUUAAAGGGAGCGUAGGCCGCAUGUCAAGCGUGCUGUGAAAUGUCCGGGCUCAACCCGGGCCUUGCAGCGCGAACUGGCGUGCUUGAGUCCGCGGAAAGCAGGCGGAAUUCGUCGUGUAGCGGUGAAAUGCUUAGAUAUGACGAAGAACCCCGAUUGCGAAGGCAGCUUGCUGCAGCGGAACUGACGCUGAUGCUCGAAAGCGCGGGUAUCGAACAGGAGUAGAUACCCCUGUAGUC
rnacentral:rRNA from 1 species